GAUGAGCGCUGGCGGCGUGCCUAAUACAUGCAAGUCGAGCGAACAGACGAGGAGCUUGCUCCUCUGACGUUAGCGGCGGACGGGUGAGUAACACGUGGAUAACCUACCUAUAAGACUGGGAUAACUUCGGGAAACCGGAGCUAAUACCGGAUAAUAUAUUGAACCGCAUGGUUCAAUAGUGAAAGACGGUUUUGCUGUCACUUAUAGAUGGAUCCGCGCCGCAUUAGCUAGUUGGUAAGGUAACGGCUUACCAAGGCAACGAUGCGUAGCCGACCUGAGAGGGCGAUCGGCCACACUGGAACUGAGACACGGUCCAGACUCCUACGGGAGGCAGCAGUAGGGAAUCUUCCGCAAUGGGCGAAAGCCUGACGGAGCAACGCCGCGUGAGUGAUGAAGGUCUUCGGAUCGUAAAACUCUGUUAUUAGGGAAGAACAAAUGUGUAAGUAACUAUGCACGUCUUGACGGUACCUAAUCAGAAAGCCACGGCUAACUACGUG
rnacentral:rRNA from 1 species